rnacentral:rRNA from 1 species
UGGGUGAUCUGCCCUGCACUUUGGGAUAAGCCUGGGAAACUGGGUCUAAUACCGAAUACACCCUGCUGGUCGCAUGGCCUGGUGGGGGAAAGCUUUUGCGGUGUGGGAUGGGCCCGCGGCCUAUCAGCUUGUUGGUGGGGUGAUGGCCUACCAAGGCGACGACGGGUAGCCGGCCUGAGAGGGUGUCCGGCCACACUGGGACUGAGAUACGGCCCAGACUCCGUACGGGAGGCA